GACGAACGCUGGCGGCGCGCUUAACACAUGCAAGUCGAGCGAGAACCAGGGCUUCGGCCCUGGGGACAGCGGCGAACGGGUGAGUAACACGUGGGUAAUCCACCCUCGGCACCGGAAUAGCCCGGGGAAACCCGGAUUAAUGCCGGAUGGCCCGCCGGCCCUGCGGGGCUGGUGGAAAAGGUAGCUGCGGCCGCCGGCCGAGGACGAGCCCGCGACGGAUUAGCUUGUUGGUGGGGUAACGGCCUACCAAGGCUGCGAUCCGUAGCUGGUCUGAGAGGACGAUCAGCCACACUGGGACGGAGACACGGCCCAGACUCCUACGGGAGGCAGCAGUGGGGAAUCUUGCGCAAUGGGCGAAAGCCUGACGCAGCGACGCCGCGUGAGGGAAGAAGGCCUUCGGGUUGUAAACCUCUUUCAGGAGGGACGAAGCCACUCGGGUUAAUAGCCCAGAGGGUGACGGUACCUCCAGAAGAAGCCCCGGCUAACUACGUGCCAGCCGCCGCCGUAAAAC
rnacentral:rRNA from 1 species